UACGUAGGUGGCAAGCGUUGUCCGGAAUUAUUGGGCGUAAAGCGCGCGCAGGCGGUCCUUUAAGUCUGAUGUGAAAGCCCACGGCUCAACCGUGGAGGGUCAUUGGAAACUGGGGGACUUGAGUACAGAAGAGGAAAGCGGAAUUCCACGUGUAGCGGUGAAAUGCGUAGAGAUGUGGAGGGACACCAGUGGCGAAGGCGGCUUUCUGGUCUGUAACUGACGCUGAGGCGCGAAAGCGUGGGGAGCAAACAGG
rnacentral:rRNA from 1 species